ensembl:misc_RNA 7SK 7SK RNA
GAAUCUAAGAGUGAUCCAGCUGUACUAUCUGCCAAUCCAUUGAUUACCAUGGUUGAUUUGGCUGAUGUGGCUGGGUAGGUGGGUGUUCCUCACUCAGUGCUCCAUGUGUGUUACUGCUGAAGCUAUGCACUUGGUCAAAGAAGAAGACUAGAGGCAAGUGGUUCUUCAGGGGAGGUUAUAGCUGCACUCCCCUGCUAGAAUCCCCAAGGUCCAAAUCCUAAUGAUAGUGGACACAGUCUGCCCUAGAUGUCACUGGACACUCUCCUGGACAUUCCCACAG